GCCGGCGUGGCUCAGUGGAUAGAGCGUCGGCCUGCGGAUUGAAGGAUCACAGGUUCAAUUCCUGUCAAGGGCA
rnacentral:tRNA from 1 species